UACAGAGGGUGCGAGCGUUAAUCGGAAUUACUGGGCGUAAAGCGUGCGUAGACGGUUAUUUAAGUCAGGUGUGAAAGCCCCGGGCUCAACCUGGGAAUUGCAUUUGAGACUGAAUAGCUAGGGUGCGGAAGAGGGAAGCGGAAUUUCCGGUGUAGCGGUGAAAUGCGUAGAUAUCGGAAGGAACACCAGUGGCGAAGGCGGUCUGCUGGGCAGUUUCUGACACUGAGGCGCGACAGCGUGGGGAGCAAACAGG
rnacentral:rRNA from 1 species